UUCGCGCUUUUUUUGCCGAUUUUGAAACUUUCGGAAGCGGUGGAUGGUGGUGGCGGCGGUUCGUUUUAAAGUACUCUGCUUAAAGUGAUUCGAGUUUUCGAGGGGAGAACUACGGAUCGUGUUUGCAAGAACGACAGCAACAGCCUCGCUUUAUUUUGGUUCAAGGCGGCUUUGAACGACCCAAUGUGAGCUAAUAUGCUGUCACACUAUCAAAACUGCUGCUUGAGCGUCGUCUGUGGCUUAAAGUUUGCAAGGAGAGGGAGAACUAUACAUAGAGCAGUCGACGCAGAGGUGGAUCGAGCCGUCUUUUUUCAUGACAAGAACAGCAGGCGAUGACCACGAACUGCAGGAUGGCUGAAUGAUGCCGCGCUGAAGCAUGUCUUCGACUUGACACGGUAAGGGCACUGUCGCAAAGGUGCUUGGGAGCCAGUGUCAACCGGAUGGAGAACCGUGUGCGUUUGGCCUAAUGAUGUCUUCUGCCAAUCAAACGAGCCAUGAAACUGGUGUAGAAGUGCAGGAAGUUUUUGCGGUGCACCUCUGCAAGUUUGUCAUCGGUGGCGGAGCCACACAUAUUUAGAGGUGGGUGAUCAGG